rnacentral:rRNA from 1 species
GACGAACGCUGGCGGCGUGCCUAAUACAUGCAAGUCGAGCGAAUCUUUAGGAGCUUGCUCCUGAAGGUUAGCGGCGGACGGGUGAGUAACACGUGGGCAACCUACCUGUAAGACUGGGAUAACACCGGGAAACCGGUGCUAAUACCGGAUAAUUCUUUUCCUCACAUGAGGGAAAGCUGAAAGUCGGUUUCGGCUGACACUUACAGAUGGGCCCGCGGCGCAUUAGCUAGUUGGUGAGGUAACGGCUCACCAAGGCGACGAUGCGUAGCCGACCUGAGAGGGUGAUCGGCCACACUGGGACUGAGACACGGCCCAGACUCCUACGGGAGGCAGCAGUAGGGAAUCUUCCGCAAUGGACGAAAGUCUGACGGAGCAACGCCGCGUGAGUGAUGAAGGCCUUCGGGUCGUAAAACUCUGUUGUUAGGGAAGAACAAGUACCGGAGUAACUGCCGGUACCUUGACGGUACCUAACCAGAAAGCCACGGCUAACUACGUGCCAGCAGCCGCGGUAACAC